AUUGAACGCUGGCGGCAGGCCUAACACAUGCAAGUCGAACGAGUGGCGGACGGGUGAGUAAUGUCUGGGAAACUGCCUGAUGGAGGGGGAUAACUACUGGAAACGGUCGCUAAUACCGCAUACCAUCGGAUGAGCCCAAAUGGGAUUAGGUAGUGGGUGGGGUAACGGCUUACCUAGGCGACGAUCCCUAGCUGGUCUGAGAGGAUGACCAGCCACACCGGAACUGAGACACGGUCCGGACUCCUACGGGAGGCAGCAGUGGGGAAUAUUGCGCAAUGGGGGCAACCCUGACGCAGCCAUGCCGCGUGAAUGAAGAAGGCCUUCGGGUUGUAAAGUUCUUUCGGCGACGAGGCGUUACUCACAGAAGAAGCACCGGCUAACUCCGUGCCAGCAGCCGCGGUAAUUC
rnacentral:rRNA from 1 species